UACGUAGGGGGCUAGCGUUGUCCGGAAUCAUUGGGCGUAAAGCGCGUGUAGGCGGCCCGGUAAGUCCGCUGUGAAAGUCGGGGGCUCAACCCUCGGAAGCCGGUGGAUACUGUCGGGCUGGAGUACGGAAGAGGCGAGUGGAAUUCCUGGUGUAGCGGUGAAAUGCGCAGAUAUCAGGAGGAACACCGAUUGCGAAGGCAGCUCGCUGGGACGUAACUGACGCUGAGACGCGAAAGCGUGGGGAGCAAACAGG
rnacentral:rRNA from 1 species